GAAUCUGGCUCUAGGUCGGGGACAACAGUUGGAAACGACUGCUAAUACCGGAUGUGCCGAAAGGUAAAAGGCUUGCUGCCUAGAGAUGAGCUCGCGUCUGAUUAGCUAGUUGGUGUGGUAAGAGCGCACCAAGGCGACGAUCAGUAGCUGGUCUGAGAGGAUGAUCAGCCACACUGGGACUGAGACACGGCCCAGACUCCUACGGGAGGCAGCAGUGGGGAAUUUUCCGCAAUGGGCGAAAGCCUGACGGAGCAAUACCGCGUGAGGGAGGAAGGCUCUUGGGUUGUAAACCUCUUUUCUCAAGGAAUAAGUUCUGAAGGUACUUGAGGAAUAAGCAUCGGCUAACUCCGUGCCAGCAGCCGCGGUAAUACGGAGGAUGCAAGCGUUAUCCGGAAUGAUUGGGCGUAAAGGGUCCGCAGGUGGCACUGUAAGUCUGCUGUCAAAGAAUGAGGCUCAACCUCAUCAAGGCAGUGGAAACUACAGAGCUAGAGUACGGUCGGGGUAGAAGGAAUUCCUGGUGUAGCGGUGAAAUGCGUAGAGAUCAGGAAGAACACCGGUGGCGAAAGCGUUCUGCUAGGCCUGUACUGACACUGAGGGACGAAAGCUAGGGGAGCG
rnacentral:rRNA from 1 species